rnacentral:lncRNA from 1 species
AUUUCUAUGAAUAGAACUUGGAGGAGUUGUGGAAGAUUUGCAGAUCCUGUAGUUUUGCAGUUGAAGCUGAUGACCAGCAGCUGACUACAGGUCUGGAGGCUGAGGAGCAAGUGGGAUGACUCUGAGCUGUCCAAGGGAGAUCUACAAGCAACUAGCAAGUGUCCCUGUAGUUUUCCAGUGUGCCAUUUUUUUUAUUACUGGAAGGAAGAUAAUACCUCUUGCUGAUAGUCAUCUGAACCAAUUUUAUUAUAUCGAUUGAAGUAAAUCCUAUAAUGUAAGUAUUCUUGCUUUCCUGUAUUGUGCCCUGUCAUCUGUGUUUGCUGGGAUUUUGGAUACUGGGGCUGGCUUUGGUUGAGAGAGCUUCUGUGUCUCUGAGAUUCACCCCCUAAGUGACUGGGAUCAUGCUGUAAGCAACUUUGUUCUCUGAGUUCUUGGGUACUCAUUAUCUCAUUGCUUCAAAAGCAGACUUAAUUCUUCAACCAAAG